rnacentral:rRNA from 1 species
AGUAAUGCGUGACCAACCUGCCCCAUGCUCCAGAAUAGCUCUUGGAAACGGGUGGUAAUGCUGGAUGCUCCAACUUGACGCAUGUCUUGUUGGGAAAGUGUUUAGUGGCAUGGGAUGGGGUCGCGUCCUAUCAGCUUGUAGGCGGGGUAAUGGCCCACCUAGGCUUCGACGGGUAGCCGGCCUGAGAGGGCGGACGGCCACAUUGGGACUGAGAUACGGCCCAGACUCCUACGGAGGCAGCAGAU